rnacentral:rRNA from 1 species
UUAAAAAGCUCGUAGUUGGAUUUCUGUUGCGGUGAGUCGGCCGGCUCUUCGGAGUUGUAGACUAGAUUUCAUUGCAGCAUCUUGUCGUAAUCACCACUGGCAUUAAUUUGUUGGUGUGUGGGACCGACUCGUUUACUUUGAGAAAAUCAGAAUGUUCAAAGUGGGCUAUCGCCUUGAAUGUAUUAGCAUGGAAUAAUGAUAUAGGACUUUUGGUUCUAUUUUGUUGGCGUUCGAGAACCAAAGUAAUGAUUGAUAGGGACGGUUGGGGGCGUCAGUAUUCUGUAGCGAGAGGUGAAAUUCUUGGACCUACGGAAGACUAACAGCUGCGAAAGCGUUCGCCUAGGACGUUCUCUUUAAUCAAGAACGAAGGUUGGGGGAUCGAGGACGAUCAGAUACCGUCGUAGUCUCAACUAUAAACUAUGCCAGCUAGGGAUUGGUGGA